UCUGAUUACCAACUGUAACGAACUAGAGAGAGAGGGGAUCGAGAGAGGGGGUGAGCGAGACUUGGGGAGGAAGAUGAACUUCUCUUGCAGAGGGAAGAUUAGGUGAGAGUUGAACUGGUCACAUCGCAUACCCACACCAGCCACAGGUGGCCAGCUAAAUACUCACGCGACCCACACACGCACACGCCGGGAAGGGUCCCACCCGCAGGGUUGCCAGGUCACACAUGCCAAGUGGCCAGGUGUGACAAUGGCGUGGCCGCGUGGGGAUGAGGCGGUGGACAAAGACGCCGUCUCGUCUCGUCUCAUCUCUGCAGGUAGAGCGGCCAGAGGAGCAGACAAACAUCCCUCUUUACCUUCCACGCAACACCAACAUGGUUGUUGACUGCAGAAUCUGUGGUGAUCCACACUCUGUUGGUUCACACUCAUUGAGUUCGCUCGUGAAGUUAUUAUAUCUUCACAUGGUACAUUUAUGUUUUUCGGCAGUUAAUUGAUGGUUUGAUACAUGAUACAUUUCAUGCACAGGGUGCUAGAGCUGCACUUAAUUUGCUAACAUCAUCGCCUUGUUCUUCCUGGCAGCGUAAGGACCAUCAACUUCCAUCUGCAACUCUAGCACAAGAGUGAGGAUGGUGAGACAACCGACCGCCGCAAGGUUCUACAAAUGGUUCUCAGAGGUUUGAUGGCGAUGACAUGGCGCAGUCGAUCAAGUUUUGGUCAAUGUUUCAUGGCUCAAUCAACGAAUGGUGUUAAAACUGCUAAUCCUGAAAGCAAGAUUUUGAAUGAUUCCUACCUCGAGCUUCCGCUUCACUUGUUUCUUGGUUGUUCAAGUAUGCUUGGUGGUUCUUCAUCGAGGGUUGAGAUGGACCAUGCACUGGUUACAUCUUCUCCUAUCUCCAUGUUCUUAAUUUUCUUGUGCAAUGAGAGCUAUAUUAAAACAGCAGUUUGUGCAGUCCAUGCUUUUAACAUUGAAAAUGAGAGGUGAAAUGAUGGGUUUGGACAGUGCUGAUGUUUUUUUUCUGGGUAUUACAUUACUAAAAUGAACUAUAUUUACAAUUGUUGAACUUCCAUAGCUAAUAAGAUGAUUUUUUUCAGCAUUCGAUAUGGAACAAUUAUACCAUAUGUGGCUGCUUUCAGGUUAGUAAGUUUUGUUCUUCAUUAUAUUUUUCUUAUUAUUCUGAA